UGUUUUAGGGAAUGAUUUAGCAAACACUCGCGAUACCUCGGUACCAACAGCAACACGAGUUUUAGACAUUUCUGUAAAGUAGCUUAAAAAACUAUUAAAUUCAUGGUACUCCUGAUAUAGGUUAUAAGAAAAAUAAACAUGGGUUAUAUCCUCUGUUCGGUGGCGCAAAGGAGGGAAGUAAAAGUCAACAUGUUGGAACAGUAUGCAAACGUGUUGAAUAUCCGAGUAAACAAGCAGGAAAUUUGUUUGUCUUCAGUGGGACUCACCUGUGGGGAGACAGAGUAACUUCAGUAACUGAGGAUCCCAUCUUUUUUCUCAUCGGUCUGCUUUACAGGAUCAAGUUAAACAAUUUCUCUGGGCUGUCCUGUCUAUCAAGUACCUUUCGAAUCCAGACGAAGAACCUUAAUUUAUAUGAAGCCAUGACCUAGCAUAACCCAUAGGACAGCAGUGGAUGGGUGUAAUGUGACAAGUAGUAACUGAGGAAGACGCUCAGUGGGUCCUUUUUUUUAUACUGGAUUAAGAAAAGAACU